rnacentral:rRNA from 1 species
AUUGAACGCUGGCGGCAGGCCUAACACAUGCAAGUCGAGCGAGUGGCGGACGGGUGAGUAAUGUAUGGGGAACUGCCCGAUGGAGGGGGAUAACUACUGGAAACGGUGGCUAAUACCGCAUACUAUCGGAUGAACCCAGAUGGGAUUAGCUAGUAGGUGGGGUAACGGCUCACCUAGGCGACGAUCCCUAGCUGGUCUGAGAGGAUGACCAGCCACACUGGAACUGAGACACGGCCCAGACUCCUACGGGAGGCAGCAGUGGGGAAUAUUGCACAAUGGGCGCAAGCCUGAUGCAGCCAGGCCGCGUGUAUGAAGAAGGCCUUAGGGUUGUAAAGUACUUUCAGCGGGGAGGCGUUACCCGCAGAAGAAGCACCGGCUAACUCCGUGCCAGCAGCCGCGGUAAUAC